UUCUCUCUAUCGUGAGAGUUUUUCCCUUCUUUUUGUAAGAGUUUUCCCCUUUUCUGCUGUGUAUUCCCCCUCCACUACAUCUUGAUUCUUGAUAUGUCCUUCUCUUCUUAUCUUUCUAGCUUCCCCUUACCACUUCUCUUUCCUACCCGGAGAAGCUGUUUGGGUUUGGAUGAUGAGUUUGGUGAGGCGAUGCUCGGUGAUAGGGUGGAUUGGUGCAGAUCAAGAUGUACGAUUCCGAUGGAGCAAACCUACAACACUGCACCCUGCAUCUGCGCCUUUGCACGAAGGUUAAUUGAAAAGCUUCAAGAAGUCAUUGGAGCUUUAAACGCCGCCUUCAUUUUUCGCUUCUAUUUUUCAGUUGCUCAAUUUAAAGUAUAGUGAACUUAAAACGUUAUUAGUUGCAACUGUGAUGAAAUGAAAGUUGUAUAAUCCAGUGCUCAAUCGAAUAAUCAUAUUUUGCACCAGCUGUGGACAGUGUGUAUACAUAUUAUGUCGAUACUAUCUUCAUCUUUUGUCAUUAUUACGUUCAUAUUCCACC